rnacentral:rRNA from 1 species
GAGGAAUAAGCAUCGGCUAACUCCGUGCCAGCAGCCGCGGUAAUACGGGGGAUGCAAGCGUUAUCCGGAAUCAUUGGGCGUAAAGCGCCUGUAGGUUGUUUAAUAAGUCUGUUGUUAAAGACUAGGGCUUAACCCUAGGAAAGCAAUGGAAACUACUAGACUUGAGUAUGAUAGGGGUAGAGGGAAUUUCUAGUGUAGCGGUGAAAUGCGUAGAUAUUAGGAAGAACACCGGUGGCGAAGGCGCUCUACUGGAUCAUUACUGACACUCAGAGGCGAAAGCUAGGGUAGCAAAAGGGAUUAGAUACCCCUGUAGUCCUAGCCGUAAACGAUGGAUACUAGAUGUUGUGUUUAUUAUGCAGUAUCGCAGCUAACGCGUUAAGUAUCCCGCCUGGGGAGUACGCUCGCAAGGGUGAAACUCAAAGGAAUUGACGGGGGCCCGCACAAGCGGUGGAGCAUGUGGUUUAAUUCGAUGCAACACGGAAGAACCUUACCAAGGCUUGACAUACUACAAGUUUUUCUGAGAAGAAAAAGUGCCUUCGGGAAUGUAGAUACAGGUGGUGCAUGGCUGUCGUCAGCUCGUGUCGUGAGAUGUUGGGUUAAGUCCCGCAACGAGCGCAACCCUUGUUUUUAGUUGCCAAUUUAUUGGGUUUUCUAGAAAGACUGCCGGUGACAAACCGGAGGAAGGUGAGGAUGACGUCAAGUCAGCAUGCCCCUUAUGCCUUGGGCUACACACGUGCUACAAUGGCUAGGACAAAGAGUUGCGAGCUCGCAAGAGUCAGCUAAUCUCAUAAACUUAGUCUAAGUUCGGAUUGUAGGCUGCAACUCGCCUACGUGA